rnacentral:rRNA from 1 species
GAUGAACGCUAGCGGCAGGCUUAAUACAUGCAAGUCGAGGGGCAGCAUGACUGUAGCAAUACAGUUGAUGGCGACCGGCAAACGGGUGCGGAACACGUACAGAACCUUCCUUCGAGCGGGGAAUAGCCCAGAGAAAUUUGGAUUAAUACCCCAUAGUAUAUUAGAGUGGCAUCACUUUGAUAUUAAAGAUUUAUCACUUGAAGAUGGCUGUGCGGCUGAUUAGGUAGUUGGCGGGGUAACGGCCCACCAAGCCUUCGAUCAGUAACUGGUGUGAGAGCACGACCAGUCACACGGGCACUGAGACACGGGCCCGACUCCUACGGGAGGCAGCAGUAAGGAAUAUUGGUCAAUGGACGAAAGUCUGAACCAGCCAUGCCGCGUGGAGGAUGAAGGUCCUCUGGAUUGUAAACUUCUUUUAUAUGGGACGAAAAAAGGGUUUUCUAACUCGUCUGACGGUACCAUAUGAAUAAGCACCGGCUAACUCCGUGCCAGCAG